GAUGAACGCUAGCGGCAGGCCUAAUACAUGCAAGUCGGACGGUAUAGAUUCUUUCGGGGAUCUAGAGAGUGGCGCACGGGUGCGUAACGCGUAUGCAACCUACCUUAUACUGUGGGAUAGCCCGGGGAAACCCGGAUUAAUACCGCAUGGUACCAUCAGAUGGCAUCUGAAGAUGGUUAAAGCCCCGACAUCUGUCGGGGCGGUAUAAGAUGGGCAUGCGUAGGAUUAGCUGGUUGGCGGGGUAACGGCCCACCAAGGCGACGAUCCUUAGGGGUUCUGAGAGGAAGGUCCCCCACACUGGCACUGAGAUACGGGCCAGACUCCUACGGGAGGCAGCAGUGAGGAAUAUUGGUCAAUGGACGCAAGUCUGAACCAGCCACGUCGCGUGAAGGAAGACGGCCCUACGGGUUGUAAACUUCUUUUAUACGGGAAUAAAGUGCCCCAACGCGUGGGUUUUGCAUGUACCGUAUGAAUAAGGAUCGGCUAACUCCGUGCCAGCAGCCGC
rnacentral:rRNA from 1 species